AUAUAUUUUUUUUUUCUUUUUUUUUUCGGUUACCAGAUGCACCAUGUUUUCUGGGACACAUAUUACGUAUGUAUGCAUAUAACAUGGUGCAUCUGGUAACCGAAAAAAUAA
rnacentral:miRNA from 1 species